rnacentral:lncRNA from 1 species
CUGCAAUGCCAGAUUCUCCGGCCAGUUCUGUGAAGUGGUGAAGGGCGUGCCCCUGCCGCUGCCAUUCCCGCUGCUGGAGGUGGCCGUGCCUGCAGCCUGUGCCUGCCUCCUCCUCCUCCUCCUGGGCCUUCUUUCAGGGAUCCUGGCAGCCCGAAAGCGCCGCCAGUCCGAGGGCACCUACAGCCCAAGCCAGCAGGAGGUGGCUGGGGCCCGGCUGGAGAUGGACAGUGUCCUCAAGCUGCCGCCGGAGGAGAGACUCAUCUAGGCCAGCCUGGCUGCCGGCACCAGCACCUGGAGGUCCUGGAUGGUUUCUACCUGGAGACCCAAGGAAGCUGCUGCCACGGCUCGGGACAUUGCUAUGGAAGUGUCCCCUUGGCUGGCAGCCUCUGCCUCUGCCCCAUCGUGGAUGGAGGAUUGAGGGGAGCAACUCAGGGAAACAGAGGCCUAGAGAGGCUGUGGACUUCAUCCCACCCUCGGGGUUGUGCCUCAGCAGGUGUACGGCUGUGCGUGGGAGGGCACAUGUGGGUGCACACAGUGUGCGUAUCUGGAGCAGUGUGUGUCUGAGUGUGUACCUGGGCCCGUGUUAGUCUACAGAUGCUAGUGUGAGUGUGUCCUGACAGGGCUGCAGGGCGUGUCUGCUGCGUUUGCUGUGUGUCUAUGACUGUGAUGGGUGUGGCUGAUCUCAGGAGGCGGUGGCUGCUCCAUGGGGUCGACCAUUACAGUCCUGCGGCAGGGGCGGCCUAAGGCUGCAUGUUCUCCAGGAGGCCAGGCCCGGGUUGCCCAGGCACCAAGGCCAGGGCUCCUGCCUCCUUCCCUGCCUCUGGGGGCUGCUCCUGCCGCGGAGGCAGCUGGGAAGUCGGGAGGCCACUGGCAGAGGCCGAGUGGGCUUCUGGCUCCUAGAACAAACAUCCCUUCAGGCAGGUCUGUCUGCCAGAAGCCAGAGCCAGUCAUGCGAGGGAACCACAGACCCACCCGCCCCCUCAGCCGGAGCAGCCCAAGGGAGCAGAGGAGGGGCUGCCUUGAGCUUCCCACCCUGCUGUGGUCAUUUGUCAAAGGGGGAAGGCACCGCCCGCCUACCUCACAGGGCUGUUGUAAGGAUCGGAGAGGAUGACAGUGGGGAGAGAAUCUGUACGUCGUCAACUCCCAUCUGAUGGGAUAAGGAUCGUCUGCAUGUCCUUCUGGGAUAAGGAUGACAGAGCAACCCUUCUCCUGCCCCAAACGCCCCCAGCUCACCCAACCACCUCUGGGUCUCCAGCUCCGGUCCUCCCUGGCAGCCUGGCGAGCGAGCUCCUUCCCCUGAUGACUGGUUGCCUCUACACAGAUUCGGCGAGAGGACUCGAAGGAAGCCCUCUGGGGUGUCUGCUGAGUGGAGGAGCUCAGUGAACACUGGCGCUGCCUCUGUGUCAGGGCUGGGCCUGCAGAGGCAGACUUGGGGGAGACUCUGCUGCUUGCUCCCAGCCCCUUCCCCGGCAAUGCCCAUCACACUGUGACCUCCGAUCCCUGAAGGGCACUUGCCUAAGGGCCUGGCCUCCUUCCAGCUUCAUGGACCUGGAGAUGUGCCCUUUCGUCCUUCCUGCUUCUCAGGCCAGGAGAUCCGUUUACACUUUUGGGUCGACAGUCAGCUUUUCCUUUUGGUUUCGGCGAGUCCCAGAGGCAUGGGUGUCCAAUCCAAGGUGGAACCACGUGACAACUUGGGGGACUGGGACAUGGGACUGGGAAGUCAGCAGAGGCUGGGAUAGAGAGGGCCCUGAACGCCAGGCUCAGGGGCUUGCCUGGUCCUUAUCCUGGAGGAGGUGGAACCACUUUUCCCUGAACUUUCUCUACAACCCUUGGGAACAGGGGGAGGAGGCAUCCGGUUCCCUUGCCUUAGCCGGUUCCAGGGUCAGUUUACUGAGUUAGGGAUUUGGAAAACCUGUGUCAGCUGUGACUCCUAGGAUAUUUUAUGUGGAACCCCAACAUGUAGAUGAAAGCUG